rnacentral:rRNA from 1 species
AGCGUACAAGGUGGAUGCCUUGGCAAUCAGAGGCGAAGAAGGACGUGCUAAUCUGCGAAAAGCUUGGAUGAGUCGAUAAGAGACGUUUAAUCCAAGAUGUCCGAAUGGGGAAACCCAGUAGAUGAAGAAUCUACUAUCACUUACUGAAUUCAUAGGUAAGUGAGGCGAACCGGGAGAACUGAAACAUCUAAGUACCCCGAGGAAAAGAAAUCAACCGAGAUUUUGUGAGUAGCGGCGAGCGAAAGCGAAAGAGCCUGUUAGUGAUAGCGACAGAGACAGAGGAACAAGCUGGGAAGCUUGGCGACACAGGGUGAUAGCCCCGUACUCGAAGUCCAGGUCGUGGUACUAAGCUAACGAGAAGUAGGGCGGGACACGUGAUAUCCUGUUUGAAGAUGGGGGGACCAUCCUCCAAGGCUAAAUACUCCUGAUUGACCGAUAGUGAACCAGUACUGUGAAGGAAAGGCGAAAAGAACCCCGGUGAGGGGAGUGAAAUAGAACCUGAAACCUUGUACGUACAAGCAGUGGGAGCCCGCAAGGGUGACUGCGUACCUUUUGUAUAAUGGGUCAGCGACUUAUAUUUUGUAGCGAGGUUAACCGAAUAGGGGAGCCGAAGGGAAACCGAGUCUUAACUGGGCGUUGAGUUGCAAGGUAUAGACCCGAAACCCGGUGAUCUAGCCAUGGGCAGGUUGAAGGUUGGGUAACACUAACUGGAGGACCGAACCGACUAAUGUUGAAAAAUUAGCGGAUGACUUGUGGCUGGGGGUGAAAGGCCAAUCAAACCGGGAGAUAGCUGGUUCUCCCCGAAAUCUAUUUAGGUAGAGCCUUGAGCGGACACCUUCGGGGGUAGAGCACUGUUUCGGCUAGGGGUCCAUCCCGGAUUACCAACCCGAUGCAAACUACGAAUACCGAAGAGUGAUACUCAGGAGACACACGGCGGGUGCUAACGUCCGUCGUGGAGAGGGAAACAACCCAGACCGCCAGCUAAGGUCCCAAAGUCUAUAUUAAGUGGGAAACGAAGUGGGAAGGCUUAGACAGCUAGGAUGUUGGCUUAGAAGCAGCCAUCAUUUAAAGAAAGCGUAAUAGCUCACUAGUCGAGUCGGCCUGCGCGGAAGAUGUAACGGGGCUCAAAUAUAGCACCGAAGCUGCGGCAUCAGACGAAAGUCUGUUGGGUAGGGGAGCGUUGUGUAAGCGGAUGAAGAUGGUUCGAGAGGGCUGUUGGACGUAUCACAAGUGCGAAUGCUGACAUAAGUAACGAUAAAACGGGUGAAAAACCCGUUCGCCGGAAGACCAAGGGUUCCUGUCCAACGUUAAUCGGGGCAGGGUGAGUCGGCCCCUAAGGCGAGGCUGAAAAGCGUAGUCGAUGGGAAACGGGUUAAUAUUCCCGUACUUGGUAAAGCUGCGAUGUGGGGACGGAGCAGGUUAGGUUAGCGUACUGUUGGAUAUGUACGUUUAAGUUGGUAGGUGGGAAGUUUAGGCAAAUCCGGACUUCCUUAACACUGAGAGAUGAUGACGAGGCUCUACGGAGCUGAAGUAACUGAUACCACACUUCCAGGAAAAGCCACUAAGCGAAAGGCUUUACUAAACCGUACUGAAAACCGACACAGGUGGUCAGGUAGAGAAUACUCAGGCGCUUGAGAGAACUCGGGUGAAGGAACUAGGCAAAAUAGCACCGUAACUUCGGGAGAAGGUGCGCCGGCGUAGAUUGUAGUCCCUUGCGGAUGAAGGUUGAACCGGUCGAAGAUACCAGCUGGCUGCAACUGUUUAUUAAAAACACAGCACUCUGCAAACACGAAAGUGGACGUAUAGGGUGUGACGCCUGCCCGGUGCUGGAAGAUUAAGUGAUGGGGUGCAAGCUCUUGAUCGAAGUCCCAGUAAACGGCGGCCGUAACUAUAACGGUCCUAAGGUAGCGAAAUUCCUUGUCGGGUAAGUUCCGACCUGCACGAAUGGCAUAAUGAUGGCCAGGCUGUCUCCACCCGAGACUCAGUGAAAUUGAAAUCGCCGUGAAGAUGCGGUGUACCCGCGGCUAGACGGAAAGACCCCGUGAACCUUUACUAUAGCUUGACACUGAACAUUGAAUUUUGAUGUGUAGGAUAGGUGGGAGACUUUGAAGUAGUCACGCCAGUGAUUAUGGAGUCGUCCUUGAAAUACCACCCUUUAACGUUUGAUGUUCUAACGAAGAUUGCGAAACGCGGUCUCGGACAGUGUCUGGUGGGUAGUUUGACUGGGGCGGUCUCCUCCCAAAGCGUAACGGAGGAGCACGAAGGUUUGCUAAUCACGGUCGGACAUCGUGAGGUUAGUGCAAUGGUAUAAGCAAGCUUAACUGCGAGACAGACAAGUCGAGCAGGUACGAAAGUAGGUCAUAGUGAUCCGGUGGUUCUGCAUGGAAGGGCCAUCGCUCAACGGAUAAAAGGUACUCCGGGGAUAACAGGCUGAUACCGCCCAAGAGUUCAUAUCGACGGCGGUGUUUGGCA